AGUAAUUAAAAUCGGCCCAAUUUAUGAAUUAUAAGGAGAGCCCAAAACAAUUAAAAGAGGAAGCCCAAGUAAAAUAAAUGAAGAGGCCCAAAUCUUCAAAAAUUCGGCCCAACUGAAAAAAAAACAAGGCCCAAUCAUAGCCCACUAUCUCUAUCUUCUCAACUGUCGGUCCUUCAUUUUUUUCUCUCUCAAACUCGCCGCUGCCCUCUCUCAUUUACCUCAAUCACAGCCGCCCAAGACAUCUCUCUCUCUCUCGCCCGCUCUACGCGAGCUCCGCCGCGAACGGCUCCGGCGAGGCCGCGCCGGCCAAGCUUCUGCUGCUGUCUCUCUCCGAUAGUACGCUCGAGACCACAGGGCA
rnacentral:lncRNA from 1 species